AUCGCUGAGAACGAGUAGACGACGGGCCUGUUGUUACUGAGGCAGCAGCACUGGGGACGUCUGGGACAGCAGUUUGAAUCAAACAAGUCUCUGCUCAUGGGUCUUCUGCCCAGACCUACCGAAUAAGUUUUGCUUCUGCGACUGUCUGAGUGGGAACUGCGGCUACUUCCCGGGAGUAUCUCUAAACACACAGAAAUUUACUGGACUGUAAAAGUAUUUUUGAUUCUACUGGAACUUGUUUUGUUGCGCAGGUGUACCCGAUGCUGUGACCUGGAGAAUCGUUUGCAUACCUGAAUCGUGGACCUCCGUGUCAUUCUGAAAGCCUUUCCUGGAGUUGCUGUCAAUUAUGGAGAAGGCAGUGUACAUGCAGACGAUGUUGCAAUGCUUACUGGUCUGGAUGGCCUUCAGACGGUACCGCUUAGCUGAACCUAAAGACACACAUUGUGAGUAUAGUUGCAAGUAUACAGUAUGUAUAUUUUCGAAUGUGGAAAAGAGGACCAAUAGAAAAUGGAUCUUAUUGUAGUAUUAAAAUGUUUCAACUUAA